GGGGGGAGGCCGGAUCCUGGGCUGUGUCCCGGCGCCCUGUGCUCUGGGGCCUGCGCUGUUGGAUUCGGGCUCCCGGUGGGGCAGCCCCCU
rfam:Canis lupus familiaris chromosome 15, whole genome shotgun sequence.